rnacentral:rRNA from 1 species
UUGAGCGGGGGGACAACAUUUGGAAACGAAUGCUAAUACCGCAUAACAACUUUAAACACAAGUUUUAAGUUUGAAAGAUGCAAUUGCAUCACUCAAAGAUGAUCCCGCGUUGUAUUAGCUAGUUGGUGAGGUAAAGGCUCACCAAGGCGAUGAUACAUAGCCGACCUGAGAGGGUGAUCGGCCACAUUGGGACUGAGACACGGCCCAAACUCCUACGGGAGGCAGCAGUAGGGAAUCUUCGGCAAUGGACGAAAGUCUGACCGAGCAACGCCGCGUGAGUGAAGAAGGUUUUCGGAUCGUAAAACUCUGUUGGUAGAGAAGAACGUUGGUGAGAGUGGAAAGCUCAUCAAGUGACGGUAACUACCCAGAAAGGGACGGCUAACUACGUGCCAGCAGCCGCGGUAAUACGUAGGUCCCGAGCGUUGUCCGGAUUUAUUGGGCGUAAAGCGAGCGCAGGUGGUUUAUUAAGUCUGGUGUAAAAGGCAGUGGCUCAACCAUUGUAUGCAUUGGAAACUGGUAGACUUGAGUGCAGGAGAGGAGAGUGGAAUUCCAUGUGUAGCGGUGAAAUGCGUAGAUAUAUGGAGGAACACCGGUGGCGAAAGCGGCUCUCUGGCCUGUAACUGACACUGAGGCUCGAAAGCGUGGGGAGCAAACAGGAUUAGAUACCCUGGUAGUCCACGCCGUAAACGAUGAGUGCUAGAUGUAGGGAGCUAUAAGUUCUCUGUAUCGCAGCUA